CAAUCAUCCGCUGCAUAGAAUAGAAUACAAACGAGGUUUUUCCCACUAUCCUCCACUGCAUCUCGAACAAUUUCGUCGUCGCAUCGGAUCUUCUCUUUUCACUUCCUAUUUCUCCCUCAAUUAAUCAGAUCGGAAGAUGAUUGACGAUCAGGAGUUAGGUUUUCUUGCCAAUUUUCUCGGCAUUUUUGUCUUUGCUUUAGUGAUUGCCUACCAUUACGUUACGGCUGAUCCGAAAUAUGAAGGAAACUGAGAUGUGGUUGAAUCAGAUCCCUAGGUCAAUCGGUAAAAUGCAUUACUGUUAGACGUAUACCGUUUUUUUAAUCUGUAUGUUAGGUUUUCCCUUUUCUUCUUUGAGGAUUUUCUAAUCAAUGUAAGCAACCUUUUUACUAUGAAAUCGUAACUUAUUCUCAUGAUUUUUCUCA